GAUGAAGAACGCAGCGAAAUGCGAUAAGUAAUGCGAAUUGCAGAAUUCAGUGAGUCAUCGAAUCUUUGAACGCACAUUGCGCCCUGUGGUAUUCCGCAGGGCAUGCCUGUUCGAGCGUCAUUUCAACCCUCAAGCUCUGCUUGGUGUUGGGCCCUGCCCGCUGCAGCCGGCCCUAAAGACAGUGGCGGUGCCGCCUGGCCCUGAGCGUAGUACAUCUCUCGCUCCAGUGCCCGGUGGUAGCCUGCCAGAACCCCAACUCUCGUGGUUGACCUCGGAUCAGGUAGGGAUACCCGCUGAACUUAAGCAUAUCAAUAAGCGGAGGA
rnacentral:misc_RNA from 1 species